rnacentral:tRNA from 1 species
UGGGGCGUCGCCUAACUGGUAGGGCAGCGGUCUUUGGAGCCGCCUCGUGCAGGUUCGAAUCCUGCCGCCCCAACC